rnacentral:rRNA from 1 species
CCUACGGGAGGCAGCAGUGAGGAAUAUUGGUCAAUGGACGAGAGUCUGAACCAGCCAAGUAGCGUGAAGGAUGACUGCCCUAUGGGUUGUAAACUUCUUCUAUACAGGAAUAAAACGUGGCACGUGUGCCUUUUUGCAUGUACUUUAUGAAUAAGGAUAGGCUAACUCCGUGCCAUCCGCCGCGGUAAUACGGAGGCUCCGAGCGUUAUCCGGAUUUAUUGGGUGUAAAGGGAGCGUAGAUGGGUUGUUAAGUCAGUUGUGAAAGUUUGCGGCUCAACCGUAAAAUUGCAAUUGAUACUGGCAGGCUUGAGUACAGUUGAGGUAGGCGGAAUUCGUGGUGUAGCGGUGAAAUGCUUAGAGAUCACGAAGAACCCCGAUUGCGAAGGCAGCUUACUAAACUGUGACUGACAUUGAUGCUCGAAAGUGUGGGGAUCAAACAGGAUUAGAUACCCGAGUAGUC